rnacentral:rRNA from 1 species
AUUGAACGCUGGCGGCAUGCCUUACACAUGCAAGUCGAACGGCAGCACGGGAGCAAUCCUGGUGGCGAGUGGCGAACGGGUGAGUAAAGUAUCGGAACGUGCCCAGUCGUGGGGGAUAACGUAGCGAAAGUUACGCUAAUACCGCAUACGAUCUAUGGAUGAAAGCGGGGGAUCGCAAGACCUCGCGCGAUUGGAGCGGCCGAUAUCAGAUUAGGUAGUUGGUGGGGUAAAGGCUCACCAAGCCGACGAUCUGUAGCUGGUCUGAGAGGACGACCAGGCACAGUGGGACGGUGACACGGCACAGACUCCUACGGGAGGCAGCAGUGGGGAAUUUUGGAAAAUGGGCGAAAGCCUGAUCCAGCCAUGCCGCGUGCAGGAUGAAGGCCUUCGGGUUGUAAACUGCUUUUGUACGGAACGAAAAGGUUUGGCCUAAUAAGCUGAGCUCAUGACGGUACCGUAAGAAUAAGCACCGGCUAACUACGUGCCAGCCGCCGCCGUAA